AGACACAGACACACGGGUUCGAGCCAAGGUCGUUAACAGACGUAGCAUGGUGCAAUGUCCAAGAUUGCUACUCGCUUGCGAAGUUUGAGUGUCAUAAUUCAAAGAAGUAUUAGACGGUGACUCUGCAAGACUGCAGUGAGAUUGGUACCUCUUAGACGGUUGCUCAGUGGGUGUGUUGUCUUCGAGCCCUUGGGGGUUUUUUUAUUGUCACUUUGUAUAUACUACGAGCUACGUACAACUACAGCCGAGACUAACGGCAAUGAAAUAAAUAACAGAACUGCACUCAUCACGUAUUUCUGGUCUUCAUUGUUGUACUCUGGCCCUGUACUGCGACAAAUGUAUAGUACCAAAAUUGCACGCUCGUGUAUGUGCGUUUGGUGUGUGUGUGUGUGAGGGUGCGCGCGCGCGUGUGUGCUUUCAGUGCAAGUAAAAGUGUGUAGGUAGAGGAGCCGUGGCCGAGUGGUCAAAGGCGCCAGGCUAUACAUUGAAAGUCCGAGGUUCGAUCCCCGGCCGCGGCACCUAUGCCAGAUAGCAAGGCAUUUAGUCUACAUAGCUCUUUUAUCCCGUUUUCAAAUAAAUGCAUUAUUGGUAACUAGGUGUGCACUUGCUUAAAAAAAGUGUAAGUUGUGUACUGGGUGUGGUUGUUUCCAAUCAUUACAUUUUCUCAUUAUAUUUUUUCUAGCCCCUUACAUGUAUUUGCAAUUUUGUAAAAAGUGCAAAUUUGUUAGGGGCAAAAAUGCAUGCAGCCGAGUUAACAAGGGCACAGAAACGACUUUUUGGGGGCAAGUCAAUAUUUUUUUACUCCCAACCAAAUGGAGGUGAAUUUGGUCUGAACAAAAAAAGAGGGGUCGCUUCCAGAGGAACUUCAUUUGGGCAAAUCUCUACAUUAUG